rnacentral:tRNA from 1 species
GUUUAAGUAUUUUAAUAAAAAUAUUGACUUGUGGAGUCAUUGAUAUGAAUAAAUUUCAUCUUAGAUC